GGUUUCGUGGUCUAGUUGGUUAUGAUUUUUCGCUAACACCGAAAAGAUCCCCGGUUCGAGCCCGGGCGGAACCA
rnacentral:tRNA from 1 species